UACGGGGGGGGCAAGCGUUGUUCGGAAUUACUGGGCGUAAAGGGCUCGUAGGCGGCCAACUAAGUCGGAUGUGAAAUCCCCAGGCUUAACCUGGGAACUGCAUCCGAUACUGGAUGGCUUGAAUCCGGGAGAGGGAUGCAGAAUUCCAGGUGUAGCGGUGAAAUGCGUAGAUAUCUGGAGGAACACCGGUGGCGAAGGCGGCAUCCUGGACCGGCAUUGACGCUGAGGCGCGAAAGCCAGGGGGGCAAACGGG
rnacentral:rRNA from 1 species